GAUGAAGAACGCAGCGAAAUGCGAUAAGUAAUGUGAAUUGCAGAAUUCAGUGAAUCAUCGAAUCUUUGAACGCACAUUGCGCCCCCUGGUAUUCCGGGGGGCAUGCCUGUCCGAGCGUCAUUACAACCCUCAAGCUCAGCUUGGUGUUGGGCCCCGCCGCCCCGGCGGGCCCUAAAGUCAGUGGCGGUGCCGUCCGGCUCCGAGCGUAGUAAUUCUUCUCGCUCUGGAGGUCCGGUCGCGUGCUCGCCAGCAACCCCCAAUUUUUUCAGGUUGACCUCGGAUCAGGUAGGGAUACCCGCUGAACUUAAGCAUAUCAAUAAGCGGAGGA
rnacentral:misc_RNA from 1 species